rnacentral:rRNA from 1 species
UACGUAGGGGGCAAGCGUUGUUCGGAUUCAUUGGGCGUAAAGGGUGCGUAGGUGGCGUCGUAAGUCGGGUGUGAAAUUUCGGAGCUCAACUCCGAAACUGCAUUCGAUACUGCGGUGCUUGAGGACUGGAGAGGAGACUGGAAUUUACGGUGUAGCAGUGAAAUGCGUAGAGAUCGUAAGGAAGACCAGUGGCGAAGGCGGGUCUCUGGACAGUUCCUGACACUGAGGCACGAAGGCCAGGGGAGCAAACAGG